CAUGGAGAAAGCUGACCUGGCUGGUAAAGCUGGUAAAGAGAAGCCAGCUUGUUUACAUGCUCAUUCUAGG
rfam:Canis lupus familiaris chromosome 4, whole genome shotgun sequence.